GUCACAGAGCGGCCCCAGCGCCUCGGGCCCUCCCGCCGACCGGUGCCGACGCGACGCGACCCGCCCGCGGCAACCUCACCGCUUCCGUCGCGCCCCGGAUGCGGAAGUGGGGUGGGGGCGGGGGUGUGCGGUGGCUGAGGGCGGAAUCAUGGCGGACCUGGUGGCCGCGGAGGAGCUGGCCAAGCUCGAGUACUUGUCGCUGGUCUCCAAGGUGUGCACUGAGCUGGACAACCACCUGGGCAUCAACGACAAGGACCUGGCCGAGUUUGUGAUAAGUCUUGCUGAGAAAAAUACUACGUUUGACACGUUUAAGGCAGUUCUUCUAAAGAAUGGCGCCGAGUUCACUGAUUCGCUUAUUAGUAAUUUACUACGUCUUAUACAGACAAUGCGGCCUCCACCAAAACCAUCUACGAGCAAAGAGACAGUUGUCAGACCCAAAUCGGAGAAGGAAAAGUUGAAAGAAUUGUUUCCAGCCCUUUGCAGGCCAGACAAUCCCAACAUCAGGAACAUGCUGGAUGAAGAUGAUGUGAAGGUGGCAGCUGAUGCACUUAAAGAACUUGAAGCUCUGAUGCCUAGUGCAGACAGGCAAGGCAAGCAAAGGAGCAGUGACCACCGGGUGAAGAAAAAGAGGAAGAGUCGAAGUCGUAGCAGGGACAGGAAACGAAGGCACAGAUCUCGCUCUAGGUCUCGUUCUAGGACUCGGGAUAAGAACAGGGGAAAAUCCAGAUACCGAUCAAGGAGCAGGAGUCAGAGUCCCAGUAGGGACCGUAAGGAUCGAGAGAAGUACAUCGAGAAGAGCAAUGAGAGAUGGAGAGACAAGCACAUAGACCGUCCACCACCUGAGGAGCCUUCCAUUGGAGACAUUUACAAUGGCAAAGUCACCAGUAUAAUGCAAUUUGGAUGCUUUGUGCAGCUGGAAGGACUAAGGAAGCGUUGGGAGGGCUUAGUCCACAUCUCAGAGCUUCGAAGAGAAGGACGGGUUGCCAAUGUUGCCGAUGUUGUGAGCAAAGGACAAAGAGUAAAAGUCAAAGUGUUAUCCUUUACUGGAUCCAAAACCAGCCUGAGCAUGAAGGAUGUUGAUCAAGACACUGGGGAAGACUUGAACCCAAACCGGAGAAGAAACCUGGUUGGAGAAACCAAUGAAGAAACCUCUAUGAGAAACCCGGACAGACCCAGUCACCUGUCCCUGGUGAAUGCCCCAGAGGUGGAGGAUGAUAGCCUUGAACGGAAACGCCUCACCCGAAUUUCAGACCCAGAGAAAUGGGAAAUAAAACAGAUGAUUGCAGCUAAUGUGCUUUCCAAGGAAGAGUUUCCUGACUUUGAUGAGGAGACUGGGAUUCUUCCUAAAGUUGAUGAUGAAGAAGAUGAGGACCUUGAGAUUGAGUUAGUUGAAGAAGAGCCACCGUUCCUUCGAGGUCAUACUAAACAGAGCAUGGAUAUGAGUCCCAUCAAAAUAGUAAAGAAUCCAGAUGGUUCCUUGUCCCAGGCUGCAAUGAUGCAGAGUGCUUUAGCUAAAGAAAGACGAGAACUUAAACAAGCCCAGAGAGAAGCAGAGAUGGAUUCUAUCCCCAUGGGACUCAACACACACUGGGUGGAUCCUCUCCCUGAUGUGGAUGGAAGACAAAUAGCUGCAAACAUGCGAGGUAUUGGGAUGAUGCCCAAUGACAUCCCAGAGUGGAAGAAACAUGCAUUUGGUGGCAACAAAGCUUCUUAUGGUAAGAAGACCCAGCUUUCCAUUAUUGAGCAGAGAGAGAGUCUCCCAAUCUUCAGACUGAAGGAGCAGCUGAUACAGGCUGUGCAUGACAACCAGAUUCUGAUUGUUAUUGGAGAGACAGGAUCUGGGAAAACAACACAGAUUACCCAAUACCUGGCUGAGGCGGGGUAUACAUCAAGAGGAAAGAUUGGAUGUACUCAGCCUCGCAGAGUGGCUGCAAUGUCUGUUGCGAAGAGGGUCUCAGAGGAAUUUGGUUGCUGCUUGGGACAAGAGGUUGGCUACACCAUUCGAUUUGAAGACUGCACUAGCCCUGAAACUGUUAUCAAAUACAUGACAGAUGGUAUGUUACUGAGGGAGUGCUUGAUAGAUCCUGAUCUGACCCAGUAUGCCAUUAUCAUGCUGGAUGAAGCCCAUGAGAGGACCAUACAUACAGAUGUGCUUUUUGGACUCCUGAAGAAGACAGUGCAGAAACGGCAGGAUAUGAAGCUGAUAGUGACAUCAGCAACACUGGAUGCUGUGAAAUUCUCUCAGUAUUUCUACGAAGCUCCGAUCUUCACAAUUCCUGGCAGAACAUACCCAGUAGAAAUUCUGUACACGAAAGAGCCAGAGACAGAUUAUUUGGAUGCCAGUCUGAUUACAGUAAUGCAGAUCCACUUAACAGAGCCACCAGGUGACAUUUUGGUGUUUCUAACUGGUCAGGAAGAGAUUGACACUGCCUGUGAAAUCCUCUAUGAGAGGAUGAAAUCUCUAGGACCUGAUGUUCCAGAGUUAAUUAUCCUACCAGUAUAUUCAGCUUUACCCAGUGAAAUGCAAACCAGGAUCUUCGACCCAGCCCCACCAGGAAGCAGAAAGGUUGUCAUCGCCACUAACAUUGCUGAGACAUCUUUGACUAUUGAUGGAAUAUAUUAUGUAGUUGAUCCUGGCUUUGUGAAGCAGAAGGUUUAUAACUCCAAGACUGGAAUUGACCAGCUGGUUGUUACACCAAUUUCACAAGCUCAAGCAAAGCAGCGAGCAGGAAGGGCUGGGAGAACAGGACCAGGAAAAUGCUAUAGGUUGUAUACAGAGCGUGCUUAUCGAGAUGAAAUGCUAACCACCAAUGUGCCUGAAAUCCAGAGAACAAAUUUGGCCAGUACAGUACUUUCCCUGAAGGCUAUGGGCAUCAAUGAUUUGCUCUCCUUUGACUUUAUGGAUGCUCCCCCGAUGGAAACUCUCAUAACUGCCAUGGAGCAGCUGUACACCCUGGGAGCUCUGGAUGAUGAGGGAUUGCUCACUCGACUUGGGCGCAGGAUGGCAGAAUUCCCCUUGGAGCCUAUGUUGUGUAAGAUGUUGAUCAUGUCUGUACAUCUGGGAUGCAGUGAGGAAAUGUUGACAAUAGUCUCCAUGCUUUCUGUACAGAAUGUGUUCUACAGGCCAAAGGAUAAACAAGCACUUGCUGAUCAAAAGAAAGCCAAGUUCCAUCAGACAGAAGGUGACCACCUCACUCUGCUGGCUGUGUACAAUUCCUGGAAGAAUAAUAAGUUUUCAAAUCCCUGGUGCUAUGAAAAUUUUAUCCAGGCCCGGUCCUUACGCAGGGCACAGGACAUCCGCAAGCAGAUGUUGGGCAUUAUGGACAGGCACAAGCUGGAUGUGGUAUCCUGUGGGAAGGCAACAGUUCGAGUCCAGAAGGCCAUCUGUAGUGGCUUCUUCCGAAAUGCAGCAAAGAAGGAUCCCCAGGAAGGUUAUCGGACACUCAUUGAUCAACAAGUAGUCUAUAUCCACCCAUCUAGUGCUCUUUUCAACAGGCAGCCAGAAUGGGUGGUGUAUCACGAACUGGUGCUAACCACCAAGGAAUAUAUGCGUGAAGUGACGACUAUUGAUCCUCGCUGGCUGGUGGAAUUUGCACCAGCUUUCUUCAAGGUUUCUGAUCCAACCAAGCUCAGCAAACAGAAAAAGCAGCAGCGACUGGAACCCCUGUACAAUCGCUAUGAGGAGCCCAAUGCUUGGAGGAUAUCACGUGCAUUCAGACGGCGAUGAGCCUUGUUUCCUCCUGGACUCUUACUGGUUUUAUAUUUGUGAGACUGUGAUUUUUGCAUUGUUUCAAGUGUCCUGAAAAAAAGGACAUUCAAUUGAAGCUUACCUACAAAAUGAACAGAAAGUAAGUAUUUUCAGAGCAAAAGCACAAGGGGGCGAUGUGUGCUCAUGUCAGCUGCCCCUCAGAUUCCACAGCUGCAUGACAAAUGUCCUGGGUCUCCUCAGCGUGUUGCAUCAUUUUAGAAACGGUUCUUGAAGCACUUCUUUAGUCAUUCCAUUCUUAAGAGACAAAACCUAAAACUCGGAAAUCUGGGCACUGAGCUGAACAACAACAAAAAGUCAUGAAGCUUUCAGCCUCGCUCUGAAAGCAGGAUCAGCAGGAAUUCCCUGUCCACUUUUGCAUCCAGGAUUUAAGGUGUUCAGAAAAACACCCACUGUCACCAACCACAGGACUGCAGGUAGCCUGCCCUCCAAGAAAGCCGUGUGCUAAGGCCACAUGCUGUGUUGCAAGCAAGCUCUUGUAUAGCAGAGUUAAGGAGCAGUCAUUUGCACAGUUGAAUUGAACAGAGCCAGUGAAGGGAUGAGGACCUGCUGGGUGACACAGGUGUUGAUCGGUGCCCUGGGGGCACACAGGUGGCUGCUGCGAGCAUAGAAAGCAGAGUUCCCAGCCCUUGCACUCUGAGAGGGGAAUUGGUUGGAGGCUGUUGUCUAUGUGUCUUAUCUCAGGGGUUGUUGGGUGUCUAGGGUCUUUUCUGUGUUUCAUUAGCCUUAGGAUUUGGGGGCAGUCAGGGUAGAAUAUGCCCUGCCUCAGGGUAUCAUUGAGCAGCAUUGGAUUAGUGCACAGUGCCAAAGCAGCGUGGCUGGGCUGUCUCCUGCUGCAGUGUGCAGAGCCUAUUCUGUUGCAGCACAAGCCUCCAGUCUGGGUGCUUCCCCAGGCCCCACCAGCUCCUGAGCCCUUGCUACUUGCAAACACAAGCAUAUGGUCUAUGAAAGGACACACGCAGUGUAAGGCACUCGGGACUGUAUUUGUUGUGUGUUGAGAAGUGGGGGUGAUGUUCAGCUAAAAGUGCUGGUGUUGAGCUGGGGCAGCCAAAGGCACCUCACUACCUCGCUACCACUGUUCUCCCUGUCACAGGGCUGGGCCGAGGGGGUGGAUGGUGUCAAGGCAAGCUGGGGUGAAGCAGUCUCCAGCUGGCAUGGACCCCCACUUGGUAAGGGAGAGUGGACUGACCUCUUGCUCUAGGAACAAACCCUGAGGAAGCUGCUCCAGAACCAGCACCUGGGAGACCUCCCUGGGACUCUACAGGCUGGCGAGGUCUCUUGGUCCCUACAGACAUAAAUGGUCAGAAUAGGCACUCCUCAGCUUCUGCUGAGUUGUUAGUGCCGUUUGCUGUGCUGAUUUCUCGCUAUGUUUCUCUUAACAAAAGUAGGCAGAUUCCAUAAUUCCUACGUGUUCUUGCAAGGGCUUUUAAAACACCAUUAUCUGCUGGACUGUUUAAAAGCAUUUUUUCCUUCAAUAACUCUUCCCCUUCAUGGGGUUUAGUUCAUUUGUAUUGGGAUUCUUUAAUUAUGUGGAAAUCUUCAAAUAGGUGGAAAUCAGUUUAGUAGAUGCAGCAUCAGCCAGUGGGACAUGGGUAACCCUGGCUGAGGUGGGAUCUGUGUUUCUGUCUCACAGAAUCAAAGCAAAAAGGACAGCAAUGGUAGUGCCUCCAAAACACACUUGAAACUAAUUCAGGGAAAUGGAAACAGGUGCCACAAAGCAGCAGCUCAGCAAGAACCUCAGAGGCACUUCAGGUCCCAUUAGCUAUUUCAGCUAAUAAGCUCCCCUGAGAUACCUCCCUUUCUACUCCUUUGCUUUCUCACCUGAUACCUGUCCAUAGCUCCAUAAUGGCCAAGAGAAUGGUUAUUAAUCUCCUAAGCAGAGGCCCUGACUAAGCAGUGACUCUCUGCGGUGCAAAGGAAUAUGUUUGUUCAGCUACUCUUUCUUCAGAGACCAGACACAGGAAGGCCUUUAAGGAAUUUACAACUACAUAGGCUGGUAUCUGUUGACACGUUCUUCAGAAAGAACAGAAGGUGGGCUGCGGAGGAGGGCUGUGCAUGGCUGCCCUCCCUGGCUGCAGGAAGCGGGGAGGGGAAUGUGCUCUCCUUGCCAGCGUGAGGGGUGAAUCCUGCUCUGGGGCAGUAAAUGCUGCCCUCAGGGUUGACUGAAUGGUCAUCUCCCGCUGAGGCCAAACUGGCUGAGGCCUCCACUGCGUUUAGCUUUGUUCUUCUCUGCCUCUGUGUUCAGCAUGCUGAGUGCUUCCCCCUCUGCUGUCUCAUCAACGUGUCAGCCGUCAAGGCAUAAAGAGAUCAAUAUUCAUUGUGCAAAAUGGUUUCCAGCCUUGUGGUAGACUACAAUGUUGCUGUGAUUCAAAUCCAGAGGAGGAUGGGGAGAUGUGUACAGGUGUCAUUUAGGGCCAGUUCAUUUAUUGGAAUGACUCUUCUGAGCUUAUCAACAAAACUAAUGCCAGUGUCCUUCUUGGGAGUGUUAUACCUCCAGAAAACAUUACAAGGAGUGAAAUGUCAUGACGUUAUUGCCCUUGGAGUUACCUACCUCCCCUGUGGCUGGCUUAAUGGUUUAAAUGACACACUGCUCCUGUCGGAGUCACCUCAUUCUCAAGCCUGAAUGCUGAGCAGAGCAAGCACAAGUUCUUCCUAAGACUGUUUUGGGUUUGUGUGGCAGGGUUUGGGUAGCCGUGGAGGGGCUGCAGGGGUGGC